rnacentral:snRNA from 1 species
CCAGCUCUCUUUGCCAAUUUGGCUUAGAUCAAGUGUAGUAUCUGUUCUUUUAAGUUUAAUCACUUAAAUUCCGCUACGGCGGUAUUUCGAUUAUAACCAUUUUUGACGCCCGCGUCUGAUGGGUCACUGGGCUUGCUUAUACUCAUCGGACACUGUGUCGCUUCUAUUUGCACUGCUUGAAGCUGACGCGAUUUGUU